rnacentral:rRNA from 1 species
UACGUAGGGAGCGAGCGUUGUCCGGAUUCAUUGGGCGUAAAGAGCUCGUAGGCGGCUUGAUUAGUCGGAUGUGAAACCUCCAGGCUCAACCUGGAGUCGCCAUCCGAUACUGUCAUGGCUAGAGUCCGGUAGGGGCCCACGGAAUUCCUGGUGUAGCGGUGAAAUGCGCAGAUAUCAGGAGGAACACCGGUGGCGAAGGCGGGUCUCUGGGCCGUAACUGACGCUGAGGAGCGAAAGCGUGGGGAGCGAACAGG